ensembl:lncRNA LINC01684 long intergenic non-protein coding RNA 1684
UGUACCACCAUCCAGGGACAUGGUCACAUUUAAUUUCUCAAAGCUGAAGGAAAUAUGAUGAUCAGGAUAUGAAGAAGAAAACAAUAAAAAAAUCAUGUCUAGCAAGAACAGAGGUCACCUCCAAUGGAGACACUUCAGGAAUUGCUCGGGAAAGAACAUCAAGUGGUCAAACAGGAGGAUAUAUGUGGUUCAAGCUACAGAAACAGCAACAGGCUGAGCAGCCAACAUAAGAAUAGAAAAUAUGGGAAAAUUUCCCACUCACUUUAUGAGACUUUUAUAACUUUGGAAUUAACUUUAUGGGGACAUUACAAUUCAGGAGAAUUACAAGCCAAUUUUAUUAAUGAAUGCAAGUAAAAUCCUACAUAAAAUAUGAAGACAUCAAAUGUACCAAUUUAUGAAAGGGAAACUGUGAUGGACAUUACCCAUAAACUUUUUAUAAGGAGGUUAAGGGCAGGAAAAACAUGAGAAACUCUUUUGAGAAGCUGCACAAGCUGACAUGGAGGAUCAAGGAUUUCAAAAGCUUUGAAUAUAAAGAGGUGUCAGACUUACAUCAGAGCCUGAGACUUGACAUGCCUAUUUUUGCACUCGCUCAUUUUUCAAAUUUCAUAGGCAUUGCUCCCUCCAAAUCACCGCUCUUCUAAUUUUAUCCUGGAGUGUGCAUCCCAGAAGACAUAAGCUGACACAAUUGGGAACUGAAGUUGCUUGAAAAAGCUGGUGGUAAGAUUAGGGAUCAGCAUCAUAUAUCACUAUUUCUCAAAGAUUAUCUGGUCUCUUGAUGGCAAAUCUACAAUAUUGAAACCUUUGAAAGAGAAAUUGUGUUUUGUGAGUUACAUGACUACCGUUUGCAUCCAAGGUCUCCUCUGUAGUCAAGAGAAGAAUGCAGAAACUACAUGUCCAAGAAUCUCUUUCCAGACUCUAGACAGCUUAUACGUAUUUGGACAAGGCAACGUGAUGAAGAAAUAAUAUAAUUGUAGGAUCACCUCUGUCCAGUAGCUGUUAUCCAACAUCUGCAUACUUAGAUUUCUGGAGAGAUAUCCAUGAAUGACCAUGAAAGUACAGCAAGUGAUUUUCAAGCUGCAAACAAAUUUUAGCAAGCAAAUGGAAGAAGAAAGAGGAGAGUGGUGGUGUGUGCUUUCCCUUUAAUGGCAGAACCCAACAGUCGUACACACCACUUCUACCCUCUUAAGAUGGGUCAGAAUCCAGGCCCAAUUCCAUGUAUACAUGGAAGAGAGGCUUAUUAAAGUAGCCUUCAGUUGCUGGACAGAGUUCCAUCCAAAACUACAGUUAAUAGUUGUACCUGAAUCCAGCUGUACACAUCUGCUCAUUGACAUAAUCUCCGAGGAAGUUUUGGUGAAUCAGGUCUACCUUAAAUCAGUAAGGUCUGUGGCUGUCCAGAUGCACAUCAUAAUCGGCACAGAACUCUACCAUUUGGUCAAAACCAAAAACUAACUGGGACGCCUAA